rnacentral:rRNA from 1 species
UACAGAGGAGCCAAGCGUUGUCCGGAUUGACUGGGCGUAAAGCGCACGCAGGCGGUUUGGCGCGUGGGGUGUGAAAUCUGGCCGCUUAACGGCCAGGCGCCAUCCCAUACGGCGAAACUGGAGUGAUGCAGAGGUCGAUGGAAUUGCCGGUGUAGUGGUGGAAUGCGUAGAUAUCGGGAGGAACACCAGUGGCGAAGGCGGUUGCCUGGGGCUUUGCUGACGCUGAUGCGCGAAAGCGUGGGGAGCGAUCCGG